CAUGUUAGCGCAAGUUGUUGACGUGGCAACAAAUCGCGCCAUCAAGGACGCGAUUUGUUGCCACGUCAACAACUUACGCUGAUGUGG
rfam:Gossypium raimondii Chr06_contig_1076, whole genome shotgun sequence.